AGAGAACAUAAAGGUGGAUAAAUCUCCAGGACCUGAUUUAAGGCUGGAGCUUUGCUCCAUGUUUAUGAGGAUGGAUCUGUUUUGUUGACCCAUGGUGGCAUAGAGCUGGGACAAGGCCUUCACACUAAGAUUCUUCAGAACUGCUUUGCUAGAGACAGAAACCCACAAAUCCAGAAGAGCCGCCAAUCCCCAAUGAGAUCCUGGCCUAAUAUAGAACAACUUGGGGCUCCUGCUGUUCGUUGAGACUGGGAAAAUUGGGAAGAAUUCUAUGGUAUUUGGGAGCCUCUGAGCACAACAUAUGCUGACCAGCUUGUUUAAACCCAUGUAUUUGUAUGGUUGAGUUUGAAAGAUGUGGUGAUGGAAAUUUCAAAUACACCCCCCAGAGAGACUGCGGUGCACAAGAAGCUUGAAAUUUGAAGCAGUAGCCCGAGCCUUAGGAGCAUUGUAUUUCAGAGAAUAAGUCGGCUUUUUGGUCCUUCAAGCAUGAUCCUGACUUAUUUGGUUGUGGCCAUGGCUCUAUUUUGCUGUCUGUAUCAUAUAACACUUGGUUCCCUUGUCUAUCAAAAAUCUAUUUUGUUCAACAUUCAAAAAAUUCAAAGAAUUAGCUUCCACUAUAUUCUAAGGAACUAAUGAUAUUUUGAGAGAAAAACUCAUUCUUGUAUCUAUCUUAAAAGGGAGACUUAUUCUUAAACUAUGUUCUCUGUGGUCCCAUCACAAGAGAAAACAUCUUCCCACUAACCACUAUAUACAGCCCUCAAGAUGUUUUUUGUUCCAAUUGAAUCAUCUCUUAUCUGUCUAGUCUCUAAACUUAACCUAUUCAACUUUUUGUCAUAAGGUACGCUGUUCUCUCAGGAAUGAAUUAAGUGCACCUUCUCGGAAUAGCUUUAAAAGCAAUUAUGUUUCUUUUUAACUAAUGAGACCAAAAUUGUACACAGUAUUCCAAAUGUGGCCUUACUAAUGUCCUGUACAACUACAGUAAAACUUCCCUAUGUUUUAUAUUCCAUUCCACUUGC